rnacentral:tRNA from 1 species
GGCUGGUUAGCUCAGUCAGUUGAGCAUGGUGCUAACAACGCUAAGGUCGCGGGUUCAAUUCCUGUUCGGUCC